UUCCUUAUUAACGUCAUAGAAUGGUGGUCACCCAAACUACGAAAGCAUCCUCUGGGGUGCAGCUGUAUAUAAUCAGUGUAUGUGAAGCCUCACUUUCCUGCAUCUUUUAUCGAUCUAACCAACCAUGUGCAUAUGUGUGACAUGCGAUUGCUGCAAAGCUAAAUGUAAUUGCAAGGCCGGAGAUGCCAAUUGCACCGACUUGAUCUUAGCCAUGGUCAUGCCUCCCAUUGGAGUUCUCAGAAAAAGAGGACCUAAGAGACAAUUCUGGCUGAGUGUUUGCUUGACAAUGGCAUUAUUUGUGCCGGGAAGCAUCUAUGCUGUCACCGUAGUCAUGUCCAAGGAAAAUAAUGGAACAAAAUAAAAUGAGAAAUGCGUAUUUUAUAUUUUUUCCCCCCUUAUGUUUUCAUCAAACUCAUAAUAUAAUUGUUAAGUGCUCUAUAAAUCUAUACAUAAAUCAGUUUCAUUUAA